GGGAUUAUUUGUGCAAUUUGGUCCUCUUAAGGACACUUAUUUGUCACGAGAUUAUUAUUCUGGAUUCAGUCGAAGUUGGGUUACAGUACAUUGAGAAGUUCAAGUCUUGAAGAAUUUCAUCUCAAUUUUUUCUUAGCCACUCAAAAGGUUAGCAUGGUGAUGUUAAUAUUCUCUUGUUAGAGCUCUCUAUCGAUGUUUCUGUCACUCUCAAUCGAUAGAUUAAUGAUCAAUGAUGCCACUAGUUUAAGUGGCAUUUUGGAAAAACAUGCUAAGUUUUUUUUUUUAAUAAGAUUCUUUGUAAAUAUUAAAUAUUAGGGUGGGUGUGGAAAUGGAUGGAGAGAUUGGAGAAUGAAAUCUGUCCUUUUUUUUUUUUUUUUGGAGAGAGGGGAUUUUCAAGAUGAGCGUAUAUCAAAAGACGAAUGAGAUAUUUAAAAAAAGAGUUGUAAACUCUUUAGGAUUGUAUGAAGGAAAGAAACAGAUAAACGAUAUAUUAUUAUUUAUGAAUGUAUUGAAAUGCUAAUGAUGUUGUGUGAUUGUGUUUGUCCCGAUAUAGGAUGUUUGAGUCACACAACAAGCCUUGAAUUAUGUUAUUCAA